rnacentral:rRNA from 1 species
AUUGAACGCUGGCGGCAGGCCUAACACAUGCAAGUCGAGCGGAGCGGCGGACGGGUGAGUAAUGCCUAGGAAUCUGCCUGGUCGUGGGGGAUAACGUCCGGAAACGGGCGCUAAUACCGCAUACUAUCAGAAUCGCCUAUGUAGGAUUAGCUAGUUGGUGGGGUAAAGGCCUACAAAGGAGACGAUCCGUAACUGGUCUGAGAGGAGGAUCAGUCACACGGGAACUGAGACACGGUCCAGACUCCUACGGGAGGCCGCAGUGGGGAAUAUUGGACAAUGGGCGAAAGCCUUAUCCAGCCAUGCCGCGUGUGUGAAGAAGGUCUUCGGAUUGUAAAGCUCUUUAAGUUGGGAGGCGUUACCAACAGAAUAAGCAAAGGCUAACUUCGUGCCAGCAGCCGCGGUAAUAC